ACACCGAUGGUGAAGCGGUUAUCAUGCUUGCCUUCCACUUUAGUUGUGUAGCAAGCGGCAGGGGUUCGACUCCCCUUCGGUGUA